AGUGAACGCUGGCGGUAGGCCUAACACAUGCAAGUCGAACGGCAGCACAGUAAGAGCUUGCUCUUACGGGUGGCGAGUGGCGGACGGGUGAGGAAUACAUCGGAAUCUACUUUUUCGUGGGGGAUAACGUAGGGAAACUUACGCUAAUACCGCAUACGACCUACGGGUGAAAGCAGGGGAUCUUCGGACCUUUCGCGAUUGAAUGAGCCGAUGUCGGAUUAGCUAGUUGGCGGGGUAAAGGCCCACCAAGGCGACGAUCCGUAGCUGGUCUGAGAGGAUGAUACGACACACUGGAACUGAGACACGGUCCAGACUCCUACGGGAGGCAGCAGUGGGGAAUAUUGGACAAUGGGCGCAAGCCUGAUCCAGCCAUACCGCGUGGGUGAAGAAGGCCUUCGGGUUGUAAAGCCCUUUUGUUGGGAAAGAAAAGCAGCAGGUUAAUACCCCGCUGUUCUGACGGUACCCAAAGAAUAAGCACCGGCUAACUUCGUG
rnacentral:rRNA from 1 species